CUAUUCAGGCUUACUUGCUCCUACCCUUUGAGGUGGAAUAAUUUCAGCUAAAGGAAGCAGAUAAGUAUGACUUUGCCUCUGCAGUACAGGGCUCCUUAAGCAGGGAGCGAGCAAAUAUUUCAUCCCCUCUGUUCUCUCAGACUGAUUCUCUGUCUUGUAAUCACAGAACCCCAGCAGGUUAUCUCAUAUUAUCUUGAAUAAGCUUGUAUCCAAGAUAUCAGUUUUGGUGUAGUACUGAUAUCCAUGUAACAAUCCUCUGUUGGUAGGUUUGUGCUAUGCCUGUAGACAGAUGGACCUGUUAUUCCUUCAGACUAACUUGGAAGUCAGUGGGAGACAUAAAGAACUCCAUAUCUAGAAUGGAUCGAGAGCAAUACAUACCAAACAUUUCUAAUGUCCUACAGAAUUUCUACAUUGUACUGGCAGAUUGUCUAAAUAAAUGGCAAAGAUUACUGAAAAUGUCCUUCAAGCAAAAAUCUUCACUAUCCAAUGAUGUAUCACUUAGGGUUCUCACAGAAGAGAAAUGCCUCUGGGUAGCACUUAUCAGCCAAAUACUUUUUGUCCAUGCCACUGCAGAAGUAUGAAUUUUCCAGAAAUGUUUCCAUGUGGCAGGAAGCAGGGUUGGUGGUUUUGCAGGUGGCAUCUUCUCCCUGAGCCUUUUCUUAACUAUAGCCCUCUGCACUGACGUGCAAGCUGCUACAGGAGACACUGUCUCUCAGAAACACUGUAAAUCUGAGACUUGGCCUUCAUGAUUAAGAGUUUCUUGCAUUUGCUUGGUAUGGAAGCAAUUUCAGCUGGGGUGAUAUAAUCACAUUUUUAACAGAGAUUGUUACUUUUUUGCUCCUUAAGUUUCCCCUGCAGUCAGAGGUAUCUCUUUCUUUCUUAAAGUGCAGAGAAUACAUACAAAUAGAUGUUUUAUUGCUUUUCUGGGAUGCUUGUACUUAUGUGAUCAAUGAGGGCAUUCUAAUGUAUUGUUUCUGUACCUUCUUUUGAAAUCCCCAGAGCUCUUCUUGAGCCAUUUGACUGAGUGCUUCACAUCAUUUUAUUCCUCUGUCAAUCGGCUAUAUAAAACUACUGCAAAUUUGUUAAAAAUCAGGUCUGAAACAUAAACACAUUGCUUUUCAGAAUGUAUUGUGAAUUAUUUUGAUGCAAUGUGAGUGUGCACCCUGUUGCAAAAUAACUGCUAGUUGCAUAACUGUAUCUUAGCCCUCCUGUAUGAGAACUAGGACCAUAUAUAUACACCAUACCUACCUAAUACAUAUGUGAGAUACUUUUGCAAAGGAACUGCCAUCUGGCUCAACAUGCCAACCUGGACUUUUAAAUGAGUGAAAACACUUUCUUGUUUGUUUCUUUAUUUUUGGAGCAAGCCUCCUUCUUCUUCUUCCCCAUAAAAAGAGGUAGCUGUCUCAUGCUCUUUUCUGUAAUUUAUUUCAAUUGCUUUCCUUGGUAACAUGUUCCAUAUGUUUACUAUCUCCCUUUUUUGUCCUUCAGUAGCCUAGAGCAUUUUCUUUACCAAAAGCUGCAUGGUUAUUUUCCCAGCAAAUAUCA
rnacentral:lncRNA from 1 species